CACGCCCUAAACGAUGUCAACUGGUUGUUGGACGGCUUGCUGUUCAGUAACGAAGCUAACGCGUGAAGUUGACCGCCUGGGGAGUNACGCGAAAAACCUUACCUACCCUUGACAUGUCAAGAAUUCUGCAGAGAUGUGGAAGUGCUCGAAAGAGAACUUGAACACAGGUGC
rnacentral:rRNA from 1 species